rnacentral:piRNA from 1 species
GUGUAGGAGUCACCUUGUGACCGCC